UUAAACUAAAGAAAAAGACGUUAGAAUUGGCUAUGUGUAAUUUUAUUAGCUUGAUUUUAGAAUUAGCCUGUCGAAGUUAAACAAGGUUCCUGCAUAUGCAAUGGAAGUGAGUAGUUACAUAUGUACUUCAGGUGUUAAACCACAUGCUAUCUUUCUUCUUUCGGCUCAAUUAAUCUUCAUGACUAUCUUGCAACAUAUUCAGCGAUUUCUUUGAUAUCUU
rnacentral:lncRNA from 1 species